UACGGGGGGGGCAAGCGCUGUUCGGAAUUACUGGGCGUAAAGGGCGCGUAGGCGGCCUACUAAGUCGGACGUGAAAUCCCUCGGCUCAACCGAGGAACUGCGUCCGAUACUGGCAGGCUGGAAUCCGGGAGAGGGAUGUGGAAUUCCAGGUGUAGCGGUGAAAUGCGUAGAUAUCUGGAGGAACACCGGUGGCGAAGGCGGCAGCCUGGACCGGUAUUGACGCUGAGGCGCGAAAGCUAGGGGAGCAAACGGG
rnacentral:rRNA from 1 species